rnacentral:rRNA from 1 species
CAAUAGCGUAUAUUAAAGUUGUUGCAGUUAAAAAGCUCGUAGUUGGAUUUGUGGCGUACGGUGUGUUCCGGGCACUUGUUGUCUGAGUAACCUGCUGUUGCCAUCCUUGGGUGGAACCUGUGUGGCAUUAGGUUGUCGUGCAGGGGAUGCCCAUCAUUUACUGUGAAAAAAUUAAAGUGUUCAAAGCAGGCUUAUGCCGUUGAAUAUAUUAGCAUGGAAUAAUGAGAUAGGACUUUUUUGCUAUUUUGUUGGUUUGCGCAAAGAGGUAAUGAUUAAUAGGGACAGUUGGGGGUAUUCGUAUUCCAUUGUCAGAGGUGAAAUUCUUGGAUUUUUGGAAGACGAACUACUGCGAAAGCAUUUACCAAGGAUGUUUUCAUUAA